rnacentral:tRNA from 3 species
GGGAGAGUUCCCGAGUGGCCAAAGGGGGCAGACUGUAAAUCUGUUGCUGUAUAGCUUCGGUGGUUCGAAUCCGCCCUCUCCCACCA